AUUGAACGCUGGCGGCAGGCCUAACACAUGCAAGUCGCACGAGUGGCGGACGGGUGAGUAAUGUCUGGGUAACUUCCCUCUUGAGGGGGAUAACUACUGGAAACGGUAACUAAUACCGCAUACCCUCUGAUUUGCCCAGAUGGGAUUGGCUUGUAGGUGGGGUAACGGCUCACCUGGGCGCCGAUCCCUCGCUAGUCUGAGAGGAUGACCAGCAACACUGGAACGGAGACACGGCCCAGACUCCUACGGGAGGCAGCAGUGGGGAAUAUUGCACAAUGGGCGAAAUCCUGAUGAAGCCAUGCGGCGUGUAGGAAGAAGGCCUUCGGGUUGUAAAGUACUUUCAGCGAGGAGGCGUUAAUCGAAGAAGAAGCAACGGCUAACUACGUGCCAGCAGCCGCGGUAAUUC
rnacentral:rRNA from 1 species